rnacentral:lncRNA from 1 species
CCCGCAGGCUGUCCCACCUCUCGCUGCGCAAUAAUGGCCUCGGUGACGAGGCGGCGCGGCUGCUGGGGCUGAGCCUCUCCACCCUCGGCUCCUCCAACCGCAGCCUGGUCUCGCUGGUGCUCAGCUUCAACCACAUCUCGGAUUUGGGAGCGGGGCACAUCGCCCAGGUGGGGGCUAUGGGGUGGGCGAGGGGGGGCCCCGCUGUCUGUGUGCCCCCCCCCCUUCCCCUCUCAGCUUUUUCUGUGCGCCCCCCAUCCCCAAGGGUUUGCGCUGGAACCGCUCGCUGCUGUCGCUGUCCCUGGCGCACAAUGACAUUGGGGAUGAGGGGGCUCUGCGGCUGGCUCAGGUGGGUUUGGGCCCCCCCGGGUCCGUGUAGGGGAGCGGGAUGGGGUCGGAGCGGGAUGGGAUCAGAGCGGGAUGGGGCUGGGAGUGUGAUGGGGUCGGAGCAAGUUGGGGCCGGAGCAGGUUGGGCUCGGAGCGGGAUGGGGUCGGAGCAGGACAGGGUUGGAGAGGGAUGAGGCUGGAGUGGGAUGGGGUCGGAGAUGGAUGGGGCCAGAGCGGGAUGGAGCUGGAGUGGGAUGGGGUUGGAGUAGGAUGGGGUUGGAGUAGGAUGAGAUCAGAGCAGGAUGGGGUCAGAGUGGGACAGGGUUGGAGAGGGAUAGGGUUGGAGUGGAAUGGGGUCAGAGCAGGAUGGGGCUGGGAGCGGGAUGGGGCCGGAGCAGGAUGGGGAUGGAGCAGGAUCAGAUCAGGGGAGAACGGGAUCAGAGCAGGAUGGGGAUGGAGAGGGAUGGGGUUGGAGUGGAUUGGGGUCAGAGCAGGAUGCGGUUGGAGCAGGACAGGGCCAGAGCGGUAUGGGGUUGGAGCGGGAUGGGAUCAGAGCAGGAUGGGGUCGGAGCAUGACAGGGCUGGAGAUGGAUGGGGUCGGAGUGGGAUGGGAUCAGAGCAGGAUGGGGCUGGGAAGGGGAUGGGGUCAGAGCAGAAUGGGGUCGGAGCAGGAUGGGGUUGGAGCGGGUUGCACUCGGAGUGGGAUGGGGUCAGAAUGGGAUGGGGUUGGAGAGGGAUGGAGCCAGAGCGGGUUGGGGGCAGAGCAGGACAGGGCUGGAGUGGGAUGGGGCUGGAGGAGAGCAGGACGGGAUCGGAGCAGGACGGGGCCGGCCCCAUAACCACAUCCCCGACCCCGCUGGUGCCAGGUGCUGGCUCCUUUCGCUCUGACGCACGCCGAGGUGGUGGAACGGCGGCGGCUGCUGCUGGCGGAGGCCAUGGAGAAGCCCCAGGCGCCCGAGGGCAGGAGCGAGCGCGCCCCGAGCCUGCAGAGCGGCGCGGCCACCGAGAGGCUGCUCCCGGCCAAGCACAGCAAGAGCACGGCCAAAAAGAAGGUGAGGAGGUGGGGGGGGGGGGGGGUUUGGGGGGCCAAAGGGAGAAAAAAAAAAAAAAAAAGGGUUUUGUGUGUGUGGGGGGGGGGGGGGGGGGGGCUGUGGCCGUGCCUCAGUUUCCCCCAAACACGAGGCGGGGGUCCCCAAAGUGCUGCCCACGGGGUGCUGUCCCUCGCAGGAGCUGCCGCGGAAGGACGAGCUGAAACAGCCCAAAAAAUGUGAGUGAGGGGCUGGGGGGGGGGCACGGGGGGGGGCGGUGCCUGGCGCAGCCCCCCCCCCCUCGGCCCCCCCCCCCCAGCUGUGACAGCCCCUGCAGACCCCCGGCCCCCCCGAAGCCGCAGUGCCAAAGCCACCAGCAAGGAGAAGCGCAGCUCGGAGGCGAGUGGGGUGAGGAGGGGGGGGGCUGGGGGACACGGCCCUAUUUUUUGGGCCCCCCCCUCACCCUCAGCACCCCCCCAUCGCCCCCUCCCCAGGCGCAGGAUGCGGCCGAGCCCUCGCACCCGCUGCUGGAGCCGGCGUGGCACCGCCAGGGCCAGGUCGUGGUGCCGGGGAACCGAGCGCUGCUCAACCUCAACCUGUGCCGUGAGUGUUGGGGGGGGGGGGUCCGGGGGGGUCCCAUUCCCACCGUUAUGCCCAAUUUGUGCCCCCCCCCCUUGCAGAUAACCGCAUCACGGAGCGGGGGCUGGCUGCUUUCCUGGCUGUGCUGCAGGAGGAGCAGCCGGGGGGGGGGCACGGGGAGGCCGGGGCUGCUGCGCCUCUCGCUGCAGGUGAGCUGGGGGGGG